rnacentral:rRNA from 1 species
UACAGAGGUCUCAAGCGUUGUUCGGAUUCAUUGGGCGUAAAGGGUGCGUAGGCGGCGCGGUAAGUCGGGUGUGAAAUCUUGGAGCUUAACUCCGAAACUGCAUUCGAUACUGCCGUGCUUGAGGACUGGAGAGGAGACUGGAAUUUACGGUGUAGCGGUGAAAUGCGUAGAUAUCAUGAGGAAGACCAGUGGCGAAGGCGGGUCUCUGGACAGUUCCUGACACUGAGGCACGAAGGCCAGGGGAGCAAACGGG